rnacentral:lncRNA from 1 species
AAAAAGAAAAAAAAAUGGUUAUCCUUUAGAAAAAGGAAACAUUAAGAAAAAUUGAUAUGGUUAAUGAGAAUCUUAAAUAUAGCUUGCAUAAAUGUUUAACAAUAGACUAAUGAGAACUUAUACAGAUUUGUGGCAUAAAAUUAUUUAUAAAAUAAAAUUAAUACAAAACUAAACAGACAUGAAAUGUAACAAAAGGAAGUAAAAAAAGAAAGACAUAUCCAUCACCAGAAAAAAUCGAUUAUCAAUGAAAAUUUAGUUGAAUAAAAUCGAAUCAAGAAAAAAUAGAAGAUUAAAUCCUCAUCUUGUGGCGCCGCUUCAUUCCAAGUUUCAUCAUCCUUGCUCCCCUC